AAAAAAGAAAUACAUGUCUUUCUAUUCAAAGAUUUUUUUGUUAGAUUUAGUUUUUUUUCUUUGAGAUAUCUAUACUAUUAAAAGAGUUAUUUGUUAGAAUGGUCUUGUUGUGUACCAUAAGUAUGUGCAUACUAAAUAUUUACCUUCAUUUACACAUACUAUAAAUUAUCUCAUUUCAAGCAGUUCAUACGAUCACAUAUUUACAUAAUCUAGUAAGUACGAAAAGGACACAAAAAAAACCAAAAUAUGAAAGGUUUCUUUGGAGUUGUUAUGUUUCUGUUCUUAUUUAUUACGGUAUCUUUAGCCAGUCGCAAAAGUUUAACAAGUAUUGGAUCGAAGAGACUAGUUCCAGGAGGUCCAGACAAUGCGACAUCUCCAUCUAAUCCACCAGCUUUUUUAACUGAUAUUGAAAUAAAGAGACUAGUUCCAGGAGGUCCAGAUAAUGCGACAUCUCCAUCUAAUCCACCAGCGUUUGUAGCAAAUAUUGAAAUGAAAAGAAAAGUUCCAGGAGGUCCGAACAAUCAGACAUCUCCACCUACCCCACCAUCUUUUUAGUGAAUAUAUAUUUAAAAAGUUCAAUAAAUUAAUAAUCACAAACUUUCUGUCAAUCUAAUCUAAUAUUGGUUUAGUUAUGAUUGUUUCAAAAACAUAAAAUAAUAAUAAGUAUUUUUUUCUAUACACUAUAUUGUUCAUUUAAAAAAAACAAAAACAAAAAUGCUGAAUGUGAAAUAUAUAAUUUUGAAAAAAAUCCUAAUACCAUUUUUUAGAAAGAAUCCUAAUAGUAUUUGAUUAAUUGCUUACCUGACUUUCCGAAGAAAUAAUAAUAUUAAAAACACUGAAGUACACACCAUUAAAAACAUUUUUUCUGUGCGAAAAAGACCAUCACGUGAACAGACACAUAUAUUCAUUCAUGAUCCAUCAUUUCUCCUGGAGUGUUCCCAUCGCCGAUCAACAACAGUUUUCUUUGACCAUAAUAAAUGUUUGGCAGUUAUUGAGGAGUGGCUAAAUAUAGUCUACUUUGUGCCUUUGUUUUUCUCUUGUGAUCAAAGUGUCAACAAAUACAUUCAUCUGUUUUUGUUACUCAUGGCAGACAAAUUACAAAAAGAUGCAAGAAAUUACAUUGAGUAUCAUUGAUGAAGACAUUACUUUACUCGAGGAUUUAUGCGAAGAUGCAUCAGAGGAGAACGGCAAGGGGUGUCAAAACAGAUAAAAACUAAUGGGUCAAUCAGGACCAAUCCAAACCAUAAAUUUUAAUGGAUAGAAAAAUUAGGUACAAAUGGAUUAAUGGGUAAAUGAGUUAAUGGACUUAAAUGGUUUGGAUUGUAAUGGAUAAUGAGUUAUUCAUAACCAAAUCAAUAAAAAUCUAUAACAAACUUAAAUUCAAAUCAAAUAUAUAUAAAAAAAGUAACCAAACCAAAUUUCCAAACCAGUUUACUACACCAAAUUCUAUUUACUUUUCACAUAUACAACGAAAUUACAAUAACCUAAAUCUCACUUAGUCAUAAUUUUUUUAUGUUAAAACCCAAUUUCUCAUAUAUACGUGGGGUUUUAGAAGUUAAAUCAUAUAUUUUUGCCAAAUACAUAGAAUCAAUUUUUCUGACAAAACUAAAAAUUGAUUUUUUUCCAUCAAAAGCGCUAAAUCUCUUCUUCUUCUUUUUUUUUGUCAAAAUCGUAAAAUUAUGUUUUUCACCAAAUCCACAAAAUCAUGUAUUCCUGCAAAAACUGCAAAAUCAUGUUUUCUGUCAAAAUCGAAAAAUCGUUUUUUCUAGCCAAAACCGCAAAAUUGUGUUUUCUCGCAAAAUUGAGUUUUCCUACCAAAACCACAAAAUUGAGCUUUCCCUCCAAAAUUGCAAAAUUGUGCUUUCCCGCCAUGACCAUAAAAUCGAGUUUUCUCACCAAAAACCGCAAAUUUGUAGUUGCCAGCCAAAACCGUAAAAUUGAGUAUUUCUGCAAAAUGUUAAACUGAAUGUUCCCUCUUGCAAAAUCUAUUUUUCCUGUCAAAACAAUAAAAUAAAGCUUUCCGCCUUUUGAAAAAACAAGCUUUCCUGCCAAAACCGCAAAUGAAGUUUUUCCGCCAAUAUCGCAAAUUUAGUUUUGCUGUCAAAACUCUAAAAUUUAAGUUUCCCACCAAAACAGUAAAAUCCUGUUUUCUUGCCAUAAUUGUAAAAAAAGUUUCCGCCAAAUCUGUAAAAUUGAGUUUUCCACCAAAACAUAAAAAUCUUGUUUCCAUAAAAUUAAUUUUUCUGCCAAAACCGCAACAUUGUAUUUUUCCACCACACCUCAAAAAUCUUAUUUUCCUGACAAAACAACAAAAUUGAGUUUUCCUGCCAAAACCAUAAAUCGUGUUUUCCAUCCAAAACCGUAAAUUGUUUUUCCCCAAAAUCUGUAAAAUUGAGAUUUUCGACAAAGCCACAAAAUGGUGUUUUCUUCUAAAACCGUAAAAUUGAGUUUUCUCGCCAAGAUCACUUAAGAAAAUAAGAAAAUCUUAUUUUCCACCAAAACCUUAUAUUUAUAUUUAUUUUCAACCCUAUAAUAAUACUUUUUAAUUAAUAACUUUUAAAAUAUAAAAUUAUUUUUCAUGGAUUAACCAUUUAAACAAUUAACUCAUUAACUUAUAUGAGUUGUAGAUUGAUCCAAUCGAUUUGUCAAAUGUAUUGGUUUAAUACAUGGCCCAUAUAAUUUAAAAACCAUUUCGGUGUUUUGGUUCGGUUUACCCAUUUUGGAGCGAAUUAAACAUAUUUUACUUUUCAUAUUUUUAAACAUAUUUUCUUUACUAAACCCAUAAAAAAUUAUAAAUUCAUAUAAGAAUAAAAUAUACGUUAGACCAUAAUAAAUGUUUGGCAGUUAUUGAGGAGUGGCUAAAUAUAGUCUACUUUGUGCAUUUGUUUUUCUCUUGUGAUCAAAGUGUCAACAAAUACAUUCAUCUGUUUUUGUUACUCAUGGCAGACAAAUUACAAAAAGAUGCAAGAAAUUACAUUGAGUAUCAUUGAUGAAGACACUACUUUACUCGACGAUUUAUGCGAAGAUGCAUCAGAGGAGAACGACUAGGGUGUCAAAACAGAUAAAAACUAAUUGGUCGAUCAGGACCAAUCCAAACCAUGAAUUUUAAUGAAUAGAAAAAUUGGGUACAAAUGGAUUAAUGGGUAAAUGAGUUAAUGGACUUAAAUGGUUUGGAUUAUAAUGGAUAAUGAGUUAUUCAUAACCAAAUCAAUAAAAAUCUAUAACAAACUUAAAUUCAAAUCAAAUAUAUAUAUAUAUAUAUAUAUAUAAAAACGUAACCAAACCAAAUUUCUAAACCAGUUUACUACACCAAAUUCUAUUUACUUUUCACAUAUACAACGAAAUUACAAUAACCUAAAUCUCACUUAGUCAUAAUUUUUUAUGUCAAAACCCAAUUUCUCAUAUAUAUGUGGGGUUUUAGAAGUUAAAUCAUAUUUUUUGCCAAAUACAUAAAAUUAAUUUUUUUGACAAAACUAAAAAUUGAUUUUUUCCUUCAAAAGCGCUAAAUCUCUUCUUUUUUUUUUUGUCAAAAUCGUAAAAUUGUGUUUUUCACCAAAUCCACAAAAUCAAGUAUUCCUGCAAAACCUGCAAAAACUGCAAAAUCAUGUUUUUCUGUCAAAAUCGAAAAAUCAUUUUUUCUAGCCAAAACCGCAAAAUUGUGUUUCUCGCAUAAAUCACAAAAUUGAGUUUUCCUGCACAAACCACAAAAUUGAGCUUUUCCUCCAAAACUGCAAAAUUGUGCUUUCCCGCCAUGACCACAAAAUCAAAUUUUCCCACAUAAAAUGUAAAUUGAGUUUUCUCUCUAAAAACCGCAAAUUUGUGUUUGCCAGCCAAAACCGUAAAAUUGAAUAUUUCUGCAAAAUGUUAAACUGAAUGUUCCCUCUUAAACUGCAAAAUCUUUUUUUCCUGUCAAAACAAUAAAAUAAAGCUUUCCGCCAUUUGAAAAAACAAGUUUUCCUACCAAAACCACAAAUUAAGUUUUUCCGCCAAUAUCGCAAAUUUAGUUUUGCUGUCAAAACUCUAAAAUUUAAGUUUCCCGCCAAAACAGUAAAAUCCUGUUUUCUUGCCAUAAUUGUAAAAAAAGUUUCCGCCAAAUCUGUAAAAUUGAGUUUUCCACCAAAACAUAAAAAUCUUGUUUCCGUAAAAUUAAUUUUUCUGCCAAAACCGCAACAUUGUAUUUUUCCGCCACACCUCAAAAAUCUUAUUUUCCUGACAAAACAACAAAAUUGAGUUUUUCUUAACAAAAUUGAGUUUUCCUGCCAAAACCAUAAAUCGUGUUUUCCAUCUAAAACCGUAAAUUGUUUUUCCCCAAAAUCUGUAAAAUUGAGAUUUUCGACAAAGCCACAAAAUGGUGUUUUCUUCUAAAACCGUAAAAUUGAGUUUUCUCGCCAAGAUCACUUAAGAAAAUAAGAAAAUCUUAUUUUCCACCAAAACCUUAUAUUUGUAUUUAUUUUCAACCCUAAAAAUAAUACUUUUUACUUAAUAACUUUUAAAAUAUAAAAUUAUUGUUCAUGGAUUAACCGUUUAAACAAUUAACUCAUUAACUUAAAUGAGUUGUAGAUUGAUCCAAUCGAUUUGUCAAAUGUAUUGGUUUAAUACAUGGCCCAUAUAAUUUAAAAACCAUUUCGGUAUUUUGAUUCGGUUUACCCAUUUUGGAGCCAAUUAAUCUCAUGACUAUAUUUGGGCACAACCCAACUAGCAGUUAUGUGCAUAGUUAGAGGCUCUAAAUUAUGAGAAAUUUGUUUAUCAAUGUUUUAAGUAAUUUUUUAUGGCCUCAGUGUUGCUCGAGCACAACAAUACCAACAUUUGCGCUUAAGCCAACUGAUUCAUCCCUUGAUCUAUGCUCCACUGCCAACUGGACCACCAGUCUCCUCAUGACUUAGGUGAUGGCGCAACUUGUGUAUCUCUUGAACCAGGAGCUCAACAACCAAACGACAUGCACUUAAUUCAACCUGUUCUACACACCCUCUGCAGCUUCAUCAACAUGGUACUAGCGCACAUGCUAUGGCCUGAUUCAUAGCUUCCCAACUGAAGGUAGUUGUUCUAACUCCUUUUAGAAGCUGGUCCAUAGCUUUCCAAUCAGAAGGUAACUAUUCUAACUCCACGCAUUGGGCUGAUUCAUAGCUUUCCACUCAGCUUGACUCUUCACCUGAUAUUUUUGUCAAGUAGUCUCUGAUAUAUGGCCAUUUAUUCUAACACCAAGUUGUUGUUGUCCUUGUUGAAUUCUUCUUGCAAGCGUUUAUAGAUAGGCCAUGGAAGCUCAUUUACUUCCCCCCUUAAGCUUGGCUCAGAGUAUAGUGAAGGAAACAAGCUUGAUAUGAGUGCCACUUAUUCCUGACUUGUUAGCUUUCAGCUACAAGUCACUUCAUCGUUGACCUUGCAAUCCACGAGGAAAUCCAGCUUGGUGGGUGGCUGGUCAACUUCUGGUCUACCUCUCCGUCAAUACUCCUUGAAGCAUCUUCAAAGGCCAGCCAUAUUAUGUCUCAGCCAUGACUUAAUACCAUCUGGUCUCCUCAAAAAAAAAAAUUUCCAUGGUCAAGAAUAUACAUCACGUGUAGGCUCUAGAUCAAACAGGAAUAUACAUCAUGUAUAGGCUCUGAACAGCAUGGGCAAAGCCUUCUUCUUUGUCUUGAUUUGAUGAUGGGCAGAGAACAACACUUGUGUAUCUGAAACAUCACUCAAACUCCAGCAAGAAUCAGACCACACACACUAGGAUCAGACAUUGAUAACUCACCAAUUCUGAUCCCAAUGUUUUAAGAAAUGCAAUGGACAGAAUCUAAACAACUCAUCUAGUUCAAAUCCAUGCAACCAACUCACUAAAUGUUCCAGUAUAAUAACUCAUCAAUUAAAAUACAUUUAGGCUAUUUUUAUGAUCAUUUAAACAAUGAUAUGCUCAAAUGACAAUAUCAGAGACUAGAGAACUCAUUUAAUCACCUUAAUAUACAUUUCAACACAACCAGAACCAUUAUCCCAAGCUCAUAUCAAGAAGGAGAGGUUUAACUUAUAACCAAGGAACCUGAGCUGGUUCCUUGAACCUCCAAUACACAUGGGUCAUGACAUUUUGUUGGAUCUGAGAUCUUGAGUUGAACUCCAACUCCUUCUCUUUAAGUAUAUGAUCUACUUCUUGUAUCCAUCGCACCAAAGACUCCUCCUUUCUUCAUGUAUGAGAGGCGCCACCUUCUAGGAAGCUCUUUUCUUGGAUAGAGAAAGUGAACCACUUGGACAACGCAGUUUUGGAGCUUUGCUAGCUAGGAAAACUACUCCAUAAACGUUUGCUUACAAGUGGUUUCUUCACCAUAUUUGACAGGAGAAAAGGAGAUUGGACAGCUUUGAAGAACUAUGGACCACUGGAUAAAAGAAUGUGCUCAAGAAUCUUCAAAGAAAAUGAGUGGUAGACUAAACUGGCUGAACUUGCUGAAGGGUUCUUGAGGUUCAGAGAUUUGUAUACACCUUGUCUUGAGAGCUGGUUGUGGGUUCUUCCUUCUUGGAAACCCUUUGGACCGCUGGAAAAAGGUUGUACCAGACUCAGAUGAAGAUGAACUAAGAAUGAAUUUGCGGAAGCUUUUGUGAGGUUCAAGAGCUUAAAGCUCUGAUACGUACCAUGAAAUAAUAGACAGAGAAUGGUGUUUGAGUGUAUGUGAGAGUCUGGUUGAGAGUGAACAAGAGAAAGACUGAGAAAUAGAGAUAAGAGAAUUGGUGAAGGAGAGAGUUAAUUUUCACUUCAAAGAGUAUAAGAGAUUAUGGAGAGUUUAAGAGAGAUUGAAAGUGACCAAGAGAAUACAUAAUGGUGAAGAAGAAAGGGGAACUUGUAACGACCCGCUCCCGGAGUAUUUUAAAUUUUGAAGAAAAUAGAAUGCAAGAGGUUUUAUUCUACAAGGAGCGUAUUUUUCUAAGUGUGGAGACACUUGUAUUCGUGAAUAUUGGAAGAAUAAAUGUAUUUUUAACUAAGUGAUGGAUCUUCAAUGAGAUCAUGGAAAUAUUCAGAAUGGGUUGAGCGAUGGUAAACCGAUAAUGGAACGAUCAGAGCAUACAUACGGAGAAAUUAAGACCGCGAGACCAAUUAAAGAAUGUUCGGUUGUUGGAUAAUGCGGGUUCCAGGUAAGGAAAGUUUGACUAGCCAUAAUUGCGGGAUAAUACAAAAGGAAUUUAGGAUCUGCGGAAAUCAGCUAAGGAAAGAAUCAAUGAUAUCGGGUCGAUCAGGACCAAUCCAAACCAUGAAUUUUAAUGAAUAGAAAAAACUGGGUACAAAUGGAUUAAUGGGUAAAUGAGUUAAUGGACUUAAAUGGUUUGGAUUAUAAUGGAUAAUGAGUUAUUCAUAACCAAAUCAAUAAAAAUCUAUAACAAACUUAAAUUCAAAUCAAAUAUAUAUAUAUAUAAAAACGUAACCAAACCAAAUUUCUAAACCAGUUUACUACACCAAAUUCUAUUUACUUUUCACAUAUACAACGAAAUUACAAUAACCUAAAUCUCACUUAGUCAUAAUUUUUUUAUGUCAAAACCCAAUUUCUCAUAUAUAUGUGGGGUUUUAGAAGUUAAAUCAUAUUUUUUUGCCAAAUACAUAAAAUUAAUUUUUUUGACAAAACUAAAAAUUGAUUUUUUCCAUCAAAAGCGCUAAAUCUCUUCUUUUUUUUUGUCAGAAUCGUAAAAUUGUGUUUUUCACCAAAUCCACAAAAUCAAGUAUUCCUGCAAAAACUGCAAAAUCAUGUUUUUCUGUCAAAAUCGAAAAAUCAUUUUUUCUAGCCAAAACCGCAAAAUUGUGUUUCUCGCAAAAAUCACAAAAUUGAGUUUUCCUGCACAAACCACAAAAUUGAGCUUUCCCUCCAAAACUGCAAAAUUGUGCUUUCCCGCCAUGACAACAAAAUCGAAUUUUCCCACAUAAAAUGUAAAUUGAGUUUUCUCUCCAAAAACCGCAAAUUUGUGUUUGCCAGCCAAAACCGUAAAAUUGAGUAUUUCUGCAAAAUGUUAAACCUAAUGUUCCCUCUUAAACUGCAAAAUCAUUUUUUUCCUGUCAAAACAAUAAAAUAAAGCUUUCCGCCUUUUGAAAAAACAAGUUUUCCUACCAAAACCGCAAAUUAAGUUUUUCCGCCAAUAUCGCAAAUUUAGUUUUGCUGUCAAAACUCUAAAAUUUAAGUUUCCCGCCAAAACAGUAAAAUCCUGUUUUCUUGCCAUAAUUGUAAAGAAAGUUUCCGCCAAAUCUGUAAAAUUGAGUUUUCCACCAAAACAUAAAAAUCUUGUUUCCGUAAAAUUAAUUUUUCUGCCAAAACCGCAACAUUGUAUUUUUCCGCCACACCUCAAAAAUCUUAUUUUCCUGACAAAACAACAAAAUUGAGUUUUUCUGCCAAAACCAUAAAUCGUGUUUUCCAUCCAAAACCGUAAAUUGUUUUUCCCCAAAAUCUGUAAAAAUUGAGAUUUUCGACAAAGCCACAAAAUGGUGUUUUCUUCUAAAGCCGUAAAAUUGAGUUUUCUCGCCAAGAUCACUUAAGAAAAUAAGAAAAUCUUAUUUUCCACCAAAACCUUAUAUUUAUAUUUAUUUUCAACCCUAAAAUAAUACUUUUUAAUUAAUAACUUUUAAAAAAUAAAAUUAUUUUUCAUGGAUUAACCAUUUAAACAAUUAACUCAUUAACUUAUAUGAGUUGUAGAUUGAUCCAAUCGAUUUGUCAAAUGUAUUGGUUUAAUACAUGGCCCAUAUAAUUUAAAAACCAUUUCGGUGUUUUGGUUCGGUUUACCCAUUUUGGAGCGAAUUAAACAUAUUUUACUUUUCAUAUUUUUAAACAUAUUUUCUUUACUAAACCCAUAAAAAAUUAUAAAUUCAUAUAAGAAUAAAAUAUACGAAUCCGGCAUAUAGCACCGGAAUACCGCUAGUUAAGAAUAUGAUAGUAUAUUAUGAAUUAGUUACGUUUUUAACACUAACUAGUCAAAAAUUGAUUUGAUAACGUUAACUUCAAUUAAUGUCUAAAAAUCUAGAAAUUUUAAUGGUACAAUUCAUAAAUGACACGCCAGGUUAAAUUUUAUUCUAUAUAAUGUUUUUGUUUAAGUAGAAUAGAUUUUAUAUAUAUAUAUAUAUAUAUAUGUAUAUAAUUAUUGAUUUAAUAUUUAGAUUAGGUAUGAGUAGUAGAUCUUUUUGAAAAAGGGCUUCAACUUCCUUAUAUAUUUUUAUCUAUAUUUAUUAGAUUUGAGUUCAAAUGUACUAAAAGUGUUUUUAUCAACAAAUUUCUCUGUUCAUGCAUUUAAUCUGUUUAGAUAUUCAAUUUUAAUAUUGAUAAGGUGACAAGGAAAAAAGAAAUACAUGUCUUUCUAUUCAAAGAUUUUUUUGUUAGAUUUAGUUUUUUUUCUUUGAGAUAUCUAUACUAUUAAAAGAGUUAUAUGUUAGAAUGGUCUUGUUGUGUACCAUAAGUAUGUGCAUACUAAAUAUUUACCUUCAUUUACAGAUACUAUAAAUUAUCUCAUUUCAAGCAGUUCAUACGAUCACAUAUUUACAUAAUCUAGUAAGUACAAAAAGGACACAAAAAAACCAAAAUAUGAAAGGUUUCUUUGGAGUUGUUAUGUUUCUGUUCUUAUUUAUUACGGUAUCUUUAGCCAGUCGCAAAAGUUUAACAAGUAUUGGAUCGAAGAGACUAGUUCCAGGAGGUCCAGACAAUGCGACAUCUCCAUCUAAUCCACCAGCGUUUUUAACUGAUAUUGAAAUAAAGAGACUAGUUCCAGGAGGUCCAGAUAAUGCGACAUCUCCAUCUAAUCCACCAGCGUUUGUAGCAAAUAUUGAAAUGAAAAGAAAAGUUCCAGGAGGUCCGAGCAAUCAGACAUCUCCACCUACCCCACCAUCUUUUUAGUGGAUAUAUAUUUUAAAAGUUCAAUAAAUUAAUAAUCACAAAUUUUCUGUCAAUCUAAUCUAAUAUUGGUUUAGUUAUGAUUGUUUCAAAAAAA
rnacentral:lncRNA from 1 species